GUGGGGAAUUUUGGACAAUGGGCGAAAGCCUGAUCCAGCCAUGCCGCGUGCAGGAUGAAGGCCUUCGGGUUGUAAACUGCUUUUGUACGGAACGAAAAGACUCCUUCUAAUAAAGGGGGUCCAUGACGGUACCGUAAGAAUAAGCACCGGCUAACUACGUGCCAGCAGCCGCGGUAAUACGUAGGGUGCAAGCGUUAAUCGGAAUUACUGGGCGUAAAACGUGCGCAGGCGGUUAUAUAAGACAGAUGUGAAAUCCCCGGGCUCAACCUGGGAACUGCAUUUGUGACUGUAUAGCUAGAGUACGGUAGAGGGGGAUGGAAUUCCGCGUGUAGCAGUGAAAUGCGUAGAUAUGCGGAGGAACACCGAUGGCGAAGGCAAUCCCCUGGACCUGUACUGACGCUCAUGCACGAAAGCGUGGGGAGCAAACAGGAUUAGAAACCCGAGUAGUCC
rnacentral:rRNA from 1 species